rnacentral:rRNA from 1 species
UACAGAGACUGCAAGCGUUAUUCGGAUUCACUGGGCGUAAAGGGUGCGCAGGCGGCCGUGUGGGGGAGGCGUGAAAGCCCGGGGCUUAACCCCGGAAUUGCACCUCAAACUACACGGCUAGAGCAUUGGAGAGGGUAGCAGAAUUCACGGUGUAGCAGUGAAAUGCGUAGAUAUCGUGAGGAAUACCAGAGGCGAAGGCGGCUACCUGGACAAUUGCUGACGCUCAGGCACGAAAGCGUGGGGAGCAAAAGGG